AGGAUCAUUAUUGAAAAAACCUGAUGAGUUGUUGCUGGUUCUCCAGGGAAUAUUGUGCACACUUGUCAUCUUUAUAUCUCCACCUGUGCACCUUUUGUAGACCUGGAUAUCUCUCUAAGUGCUUGCACUUGGGUUUGAGGAUUAUUGUCUUUUCCUUACAUUUCCAGGCCUAUGUUUCUUCAUAUACCCCAAUGUAUGUUAUAGAAUGUAAUAAAAUAUGGCUCUUCGUGGCCAUUAUAAACAAAUACAACUUUCAGCAACGGAUCUCUUGGCUCUCGCAUCGAUGAAGAACGCAGCGAAAUGCGAUAAGUAAUGUGAAUUGCAGAAUUCAGUGAAUCAUCGAAUCUUUGAACGCACCUUGCGCUCCUUGGUAUUCCGAGGAGCAUGCCUGUUUGAGUGUCAUUAAUAUAUCAACCUCUACAGCUUUUGCUUAAUUUGAGUGUUGGAUGUGGGGGUUUUUUGCUGGCCUUUCUGAGGUCAGCUCCCCUNAAAUUUAUUAGCGGAACAAUGUGUUAACUGUUCAUUGGUGUGAUAACUAUCUACGCUAUUGACGGAAAGCAGUUCAGCUUCUAACAGUCCAUUGACUUGGACAAUUUUUUAAUUAAUGUGACCUCAAAUCAGGUAGGACUACCCGCUGAACUUAAGCAUAUCAAUAAGCGGAGGAAAAGAAACUAACAAGGAUUCCCCUAGUAACUGCGAGUGAAGCGGGAAAAGCUCAAAUUUAAAAUCUGGCAGUCUUUGGCUGUCCGAGUUGUAAUCUAGAGAAGUAUUAUCCGC
rnacentral:rRNA from 1 species